rfam:Gossypium arboreum cultivar AKA8401 contig_51590_1, whole genome shotgun sequence.
CAUAGACAGUAGCUUAGUUAGGGGAACCUACUGAAACUGUAAUGAAAGCGAGUCUUCAUAGGGAAAUUUUCAUUGCUAAUGGGCCCAAACUUAGGUGACCUAUCUAUGACAAGGAUGAAGCUUGAGUGGAACUAAGUGGAGGUUUGAACCAGUUGACGUUGAAGAAUUAACAAGAUAAGUUGUGGUUAGGGUUGAAAUGCUACUCGAACGCAAAAUUAGUUUG